rnacentral:rRNA from 1 species
CAAUAGCGUAUAUUAAAGUUGUUGCAGUUAAAAAGCUCGUAGUUGGAUUUCUGGUGGGAGCGAUCGGUCUGGCGCUUAGCGCGAGUACUUGCAUCGUCUCCGGCCAUCCUUGGGGAGAGUCUGUCUGGCAUUAGGUUGUCGGGCAGAGGAUCCUCAUCGUUCACUGUGAAAAAAUUAGAGUGUUCAAAGCAGGCUUAUGCCGUUGAAUAUAUUAGCAUGGAAUAAUAAGAUAGGACUUUGGUACUAUUUUGUUGGUUUGCGCACCAAAGUAAUGAUUAAUAGGGACAGUUGGGGGUACUCGUAUUCCGUUGUCAGAGGUGAAAUUCUUGGAUUUACGGAAGACGAACUACUGCGAAAGCAUUUACCAAGGAUGUUUUCAUUAA